rnacentral:rRNA from 1 species
GACGAACGCUGGCGGCGUGCUUAACACAUGCAAGUCGAACGGAAAGGCCCUGCUUUUGUGGGGUGCUCGAGUGGCGAACGGGUGAGUAACACGUGAGUAACCUUCCCUUUACUUUGGGAUAACUUCAGGAAACUGGGGCUAAUACCGGAUAGGAGCUCCUGCUGCAUGGUGGGGGUUGGAAAGUUUCGGCGGUUGGGGAUGGACUCGCGGCUUAUCAGCUUGUUGGUGGGGUAGUGGCUUACCAAGGCUUUGACGGGUAGCCGGCCUGAGAGGGUGACCGGCCACAUUGGGACUGAGAUACGGCCCAGACUCCUACGGGAGGCAGCAGUGGGGAAUAUUGCACAAUGGGCGGAAGCCUGAUGCAGAAACGCCGCGUGCGGGAUGACGGCCUUCGGGUUGUAAACCGCUUUCGCCUGUGACGAAGCGUGAGUGACGGUAAUGGGUAAAGAAGCACCGGCUAACUACGUG